rnacentral:rRNA from 1 species
UACGUAGGGAGCGAGCGUUAUCCGGAUUUAUUGGGUGUAAAGGGUGCGUAGACGGGAAAACAAGUUAGUUGUGAAAUCCCUCGGCUUAACUGAGGAACUGCAACUAAAACUAUUUUUCUUGAGUACUGGAGAGGAAAGUGGAAUUCCUAGUGUAGCGGUGAAAUGCGUAGAUAUUAGGAGGAACACCAGUGGCGAAGGCGACUUUCUGGACAGAAACUGACGUUGAGGCACGAAAGUGUGGGGAGCAA